rnacentral:rRNA from 1 species
AAACAUUGAUACAACCCUACCCCACCAUCCGCCCGGGAACUACGAGCAUCAGCUUGAAACCCAAAGGACUUGGCGGUGCUUUAGACCCACCUAGAGGAGCCUGUCUAGAACCGAUAACCCCCGUUCAACCUCACCCUCCCUUGUUUCUCCCGCCUAUAUACCGCCGUCGUCAGCUUACCCUGUGAAGGUUUAAUAGUAAGCAAAAUUGGCAAAGCCCAAAACGUCAGGUCGAGGUGUAGCGUAUGAGAGGGGAAGAAAUGGGCUACAUUCAUUAAUUUAAUGAACCACGGAAGACGUACUGAAAACGUAUGUCUGAAGGAGGAUUUAGCAGUAAGUGGAGAAUAGAGUGCCCC